GAAAAACUAUGUAGUUAGAAGAGGCCGCAAUUGAGAAUAUUUUCCAUUACAUUACCGACUACGUUCUUAUGUUUAUUUGGUUUUAAUUUUAAGAAUAUUUAAGUCUAUUUAAAUGCUAUUCAUAUUAUUUUUGAAUUUUUUAAAAAACUAACGUUUAUAAAAUUAAAUAUUAAAUUUUGACUAAUAUCGAUAAAAACUCCCUAUUUCCCAACCAUCUAAAAUCCGGAUUCAUCAAAUUAAACAAUUUUGACGCAAAACACAAAAUCCUCUCUCUCUUACCAAAAUUCGAAUACGCAUCCACCGCCAAACCCUAUUUCUCUCUCUUCCGUUUCUGGCGAGGCAAGCUGAGCCUGAGAGUAGCAAAGCUGCUGGCUGCAAAAAAUGAGGAGAGGCACCAAGCGGAAGGCGGAGGCAGACAAGCACAAGGAAUCGAGCAAAGCCACAAGGACGACUCGGACGACGAAGCGGGUGAAGAAAUCGGAGGACCUCCGCAACUUGCAAGAUCUAUGGAAGGCUGCAUUCCCUGUCGGCACCAACAAUGUCUACCUCUUAGGCUGCACUGAGCUUAAGCUUACUUGUCUUCUCUCACCUGCCCACCUUCUCUGUUCUGUUUUCUUUAUCCCGUUGCGUUUGAAUUCGGAAACCCGCAUUGUCUUUUUCGCAGCUCAAUCGGUCUCCAUCAAUGGCGAAAACAAAGUUGUUUGCAUACCGGUGGCUGGUCGCGGUUGUGUUGCCUUUCCCCCCUUCCGAUAUGAUUGGGAUUAACUCAGUUCAGAGAGAAGCGGAAGAAAUAAUUCCCAUGAAACAAAUGAAAAUGGUUGGAUUCCGUAUAUUCCUCUGGAGCAUAGAUUUCUAUCAACCCUUCAAGGAAGAUGAGCUCGAGCAGAGCACUGAGGUCCCAAUAAUGUUUCCAGGAGAGCCAAAGUCGGUAAGGGUUAACUGUGAAUUUGAUUGGGAAUUGGAUGAACUGGAGGAGUUCACUGAUAAACUGAUAGAAGAGGAGGAAUUAUCUGCAGACCAGAAGGAUGAAUUCAAGGAGUUUGUCAAGGAGAAAGUCCGUGAACAAAAGAAAUAUAAUCGAGAGGCCAGGGAAACCCGGAGAAAAGCCAUUGAAGAAAUGAGUGAAGAAGCUAAAACAGCAUUUGAAAAUGUGAGGUUUUACAAGUUCUACCCUGUACAUACACCAGAUACUCCUGACAUUUCAAUUGUUAAGAAUUAAGCCAUGUCAAGUUGUCAACAGACCAUUGCAAAAGUAAAAACAAAGGAGAGGAAAGCUUGUAUUGCCUUUUUGUUGGUGGGUUGCAGGAAUUAAACACCUAACAGAGAGAUCUAGAAUGAGUAUGAAGAGGAAGUGAAGAGUGGGAGUCGGAAGGUGAUAACCUUGAGUUCUUAAGGCCGUGUGAGCACAGCUGUGAUAGUGGAUUCUGAUGUUAUACGGUAAUGAUUCAAAAUUUAGGCCUGACUUGAAGAGAAUCCAGACCCUGAGAAAAUGUAUUAUGGCAAGGCUCAUGAGGUGUUGUUAUCACCAAGGUCAAGAAGGUGCCAGAUUGAAUGUCUCGAGCCUCGUUUGGCUGUGCUGAAUUAAGCACUCUGUCGAAGACUUGAUUGUUGUUUAUACUACAAGGUAAGGUAUGGGAGGCAAUGCCCCUGGUGCCUCGAUAUCAAGGCAUGAAAGUCUCGAGCCUCGUUUGGCUGUGCUGAAUUAAGUACUCUGCCGAAGACUUGAUUGUUGUUUAUACAAGGUAAGGUAUGGGAGGCAAUCCCCCUGGUGCCUCAAUAUAGAAUGCCUUGAAUGCCGUCGAGAUGUCUCGACCCAGGACGGAUGUAAACUUGUAGAUUCAGAAGUUAUAGAUAGAAGUUGAGGUGCUCUUGUGCAUAGGAGGAGGAAGUUGUAAGAUACAUUGAGGCAUUCGAAUUUUGUACUAGUUGAGCUGAGAAGCUGGAAUUUCGUACUAGUUGUGGAGAAAUGUUUGUCAACCGAUUGACAGUUGCUUUGUAUUAUAAAAUUUGGUCGCACACAA